rnacentral:rRNA from 1 species
AUACCGGCGGCCCGAGUGGCGGCCACUAUUAUUGGGCCUAAAGCGUCCGUAGCCGGGCUGGUAAGUCCCCCGGGAAAUCUGGCGGCUUAACCGUCAGACUGCCGGGGGAUACUGCCAGCCUAGGGACCGGGAGAGGCCGGGGGUAUUCCCGGGGUAGGGGUGAAAUCCUGUAAUCCCGGGAGGACCACCUGUGGCGAAGGCGCCCGGCUGGAACGGGUCCGACGGUGAGGGACGAAGGCCAGGGGAGCGAACCGGAUUAGAAACCCUAGUAGUCC